GGCGACGUAGCUCAGUUGGUAAGAGCGCGCGAUUCAUAAUCGCGAGGUCGACAGUUCAAGUCUGUCCGUCGCUACUA
rnacentral:tRNA from 2 species